rnacentral:rRNA from 1 species
GGGUCAGUAGGUUGGUCGUGCCACCGGUACGUACUGGUCUCACUGAUUCCUCCUUCCUGAAGAACCGCAAUGCCAUUAAUUUGGUGUUGCGGGGAAACAGGACUGUUACUUUGAAAAAUUAGAGUGUUUAAAGCAAGCUAACACUUGAAUACAUUAGCAUGGAAUAAUGAAAUAGGACGAUCGAUCCUAUUUUGUUGGUUUCUAGGAUUGACGUA